CCCAUUUGGAUUCCAGAGAGAUUAACUAAAACAGUUUCUACAGAUCGAAAAGAAGAUGAUUUGACUCAAAUCCAUAACAGCUGAUAUCCAGAACUCCAGCUUGGCCAUUCUUACAUCUGCGACAGUGAUUAACCAGGAUGCUUUUUUCAAUAGCUAUUUUAUUAUUGCAUUUUUCCACAUCAUAAGGUUCUAUUUUUAUUUUUUGAGCUCAUACAAACCUAGGUUAAUGUUUUUCUGAUCAGUUUUAUUUUUUGACUGUGGAGUUUUUAAACAUUGCAAUGGAGAUUUCACCUAGGAUAAUGUCUCUUUAGCAUCAUUGCCAGAAUUCCUAUCUCCAUCUCAGUGCUGGUGAAGAACUCAACAAGUAAUGCUCAAUCAAAGAGUCAACUUACUUUGGGAGGAAACGGAUUUUGGGAGGAAAUGGACAUAUUGAUAGAUUCCUCUGCUUUGAACUGCUUGCAGAACUUGCCUGGACUAUGUAACUAUCGUUUGAUGGUGUCACUAGUGAUGCAAUUUUUAUUUCCUGCCAGCGCACCCCAUGUUAAUUGUGGUAGUGCUGGCAUAUCUUUGCUGAUGGUGUCACCAGUGAUGCAAUUUUUCCCAAGGAGCCGUCAAUUGGCUUGGUGUCGUGGCAUUUCUGUAUCCUCCUCCCUUCUGCUAGUGAUGGUCUAAAAUUUGGGGGCCAAUGGCUUAUGCUG